GUGCUUAAUUACUCAAUUAACUCAACAUCUAUUUUUCAUAAAUAUGCUCUAAUUUCAUAUUUUUCUAAAAUUAUCUAUUUUUGCAAAAAAAUUUAAUUUAUUUAUGAAAUUAAAUUUUUUAAAAGAUGUUAGUACCAUAAAUUACCAAAAAUACCUACAAUAAAUGUAAAAAUAUGCCACUUAUCACACCCCCGACUUGAACUUUGCUCAUCCUC
rnacentral:lncRNA from 1 species